UACGAAGGGGGCUAGCGUUGCUCGGAAUCACUGGGCGUAAAGCGCACGUAGGCGGCUUUUUAAGUCAGGGGUGAAAUCCUGGAGCUCAACUCCAGAACUGCCUUUGAUACUGAGAAGCUUGAGUCCGGGAGAGGUGAGUGGAACUGCGAGUGUAGAGGUGAAAUUCGUAGAUAUUGGGAAGAACACCGGUGGCGAAGGCGGCUCACUGGCUCAUUACUGACGCUCAGGCGCGAUAGCGUGGGGAUCAAACAGG
rnacentral:rRNA from 1 species